rnacentral:rRNA from 1 species
UAAAACCAGCACCUCAAGUGGUCAGGAUGAUUAUUGGGCCUAAAGCAUCCGUAGCCGGCUCCGUAAGUUUUCGGUUAAAUCUGUACGCUCAACGUACAGGCUGCCGGGAAUACUGCAGAGCUAGGGAGUGGGAGAGGUAGACGGUACUCGGUAGGAAGGGGUAAAAUCCUUUGAUCUAUUGAUGACCACCUGUGGCGAAGGCGGUCUACCAGAACACGUCCGACGGUGAGGGAUGAAAGCUGGGGGAGCAAACCGGAUUAGAUACCCGGGUAGUCCCAGCUGUAAACUAUGCAAACUCAGUGAUGCAUUGACUUGUGGUCAAUGCAGUGCUGCAGGGAAGCCGUUAAGUUUGCCGCCUGGGAAGUACGUACGCAAGUAUG